UAAGUUUAUUUUUGAAAACAAUGUUACACAGGUAAUAAAUGAACAAAUGGUAAUUUAAAAGCAGUUUUUAGAAACUGAAAUUCUUUACUCUCCCAAGACUUUUAGGUGUGCCCUUCCAGAUCCUUCUCUCUGCAACACUCUACUUCUACUCUAGGUGAAUAUAUUCACCUAGAUGUACUGUUUAAAAUGAUAAUUGCAGUAAUUUUUUUUUUCAAUGUGUUUUACUCAUUGCAUCUUGCAGGGUCUUUCCCCGCAAGCGUACCUUGAUCUACUUGAUUCUUCCUAAGGAUUGCAUGGUGCGCGCCAGCGUGCGUGUCACCUAGCUCCUUAGGGAAGGACAUUUAGGUUGCUGCAGGUUUGGGGCUAUUGCAAACAGCGCUGCUGGUCCUGUUUCCAUUUUUCAGAGCGCACGGAGUGGGAAAGACUGGGCGCAGUAGGCCAAAGGGGAGACUCUGGCCUUGGCUCUGCAGGGGGCAGGGGUGCGGGUGCCUUGCGGCAGCCGCGCCCUCCGGCAGCCUGCUGCCUCCAGACUCCGAACCCCGGGGACCCAGUCAUUUUCCACGGCCUCUGCAACACCCCUCCCUGCAAGGCGCGGCCCGUUUUCGGAGCUGGACUGCAUUUUUUAGAGAUGAGUGGCCGGGUGAGCCUGAAACCCUGGCCAAAGGCUCCAGUGCGACACGGAGGAAAUGCCCCGCCCCCACCCCCAGCAGAAGAGAGGCCGAGAAAAUCUUCAAAAUGAUCUAUGAAAACUUGUAAUCACUGCUUCAUCGCUGAAAGGAGCUGCUAACAAGCAUCAAAUGAGAAAUAUGCAGAAACAAGAUUGGACAUCUUCGGAACCAGAAACUAGUCUAUGGAAAACUCUUCCAACCAUUGUAUGAAGGAGUGAAGAUAGGACGAGGCCCAGAAGGAUGGCAAAGCCAAGGAAGAAAGGGUAGCAGCUAAGCUCCAAAGACCAAGUGUGAGAGCAUCCACCCAAGGAUCCAUCCUGCCCACCCUGCACAUUCUGAAUGUGUGGUGCACACAUUUGCAAAGUGGCUUUCACCCCUUCAUCACAUUGAGGAAGUCUUCCCAAGGAAGGACAACCUCGGAAGGGGUCCACCUCUCCAAACUGUGGAUCAGGCCUUACUGGAGAAAGAUUCGUGGCAGCCCCUGGGACGGCGGAGAAAUUUCCCGGUGCAACUGCUCUUUGGUUGCCAGAUAAGGAUGAAGCAAUCUGUGGGAGCACAGAUCUCCUGUCUGUAUAUAUGAGCUGAAAAAUGCCUUCAGGGAAGGUUUUGCCUUUGAGAACGGAUGUGGCAAAAUGAACGUGGUGCGCUGGAGUAGGAAUCAGGAAAUUUGACCUUGCUGUGUGAGUUUGAGCCCAUUGGCUUGCCUCUCUGAGCCUCAGUUUCCCCGAAUGAAAAUGGGAACCUUGAGUAAGCUGCCUUCCCCGCCCACUGUAUCGCAGCAUUUCAUAAGGCUCCGUAGAGAGUGAAAGCGUUCGUGUUGUGGUUGCAUACCCCUUGUGCUCUCCUUCUACAGCUAAAACUGGAGCUUCUGCAGAUGUGGAGUAUGUUGAUUUCAGCAAAGGAGUAGGCAGAAGAGAGCCUCAAAUGGGAACAAUAGGCACUCUGGACGCCCUGACGGCAGAGUCUGGAGAACGGAAAAGCCAACUUUUCUCCCCUUGUGCUUGCAAUUGGGGGAAGAGUGAGGAGCCGGGAAAGGUAAAUGCUGUCAUCUACUGGUCAUUUCCUGUGUAGCAGCAUCAAAUUAAUAGUUUUGCAAAGCUCUCGUUCAAAGUUAGCUAAGGACCUGGAGGGAGGAGGAGGCAUUUGCUGAGCACCUACUGGUUAUAAGGGACUAUCUUCAAGGAUGCUAUGAACAGAGAUAUGACCUAGCCCUGGAUGCUGCCAAUAAGGAGGACACGGACCGCAGGGAGCCAGGGCCGCCUCCCUGUGCCUGUGUGCCUCAAGCACACCCUUUGACCUCUCUGAGCUUCAGGUUUCUCAUCAGGUGCGUGGACUAGGAUGGUCUCCAAGGAUCUUGAAAGAUGAAGAGAAUAUUACAGAUGGACACUGGGAAGGAAAGGAGGAGGGCAUCAAGAGAAGCCCUUGGAAAGUCUGACAGAUGUCCUCUUCCCUUGUGCCCGUGUUUGUGACACCGUGGGCUAGGCUCCAGAUCGCUAAGCACCUGCCCUCCUCUGACUUCUGUUCAGGGGAAGGGACAGUGGAGUCGGAAAGACUUCUUGAAGGAAGACUGGAACCAACGCCUGCGUUGUCCCCACCAGUUUUAAGAAAUGGAACCAUAUGGUUGCCUCUGAAGUCAUCCAUUAUAUGAAUAUAUUAUCAUUUCUUUAUACAUUCUGCUGUGGAUGGCAUUUGAAUUGUUUCCUAUUGUUUCCAGGCUUUUACUGCUUUGGACCUCCAUGCACAUAUAUUUCUGUCAAGUAUGACCCAGGGGGUGGAAUUGUUGGGUUGUAGACCAUGUGCAUUUUCAACUUUACGGUUAAUUACAAUUCAUUAUCCCAAGAGAUCGCAGCGAUGGGAACUCACACUGGAAGUGUGUGUAAGUUCCCAUUACUCCAAAUUCACUGCAAGUACUUGAUGCUAUCAGCUUUUCUACAGUUUUGCUGAUUUGGUGGGGGCAAAAUGGUGUAUUACUGGGUUUUUUCAUUUAUGUCUCCCCAAUUAAUAAUGAGCAUGUUUUCUUACAUUUGUUCUUUUGCAUUCCUUCUCUGAAAUGCUUAUUUCUGUUUUUCUGUUUUGUCUUAUUAAUCUGUAGGAGUUUAAAAAUAUAUUUGAGAUACAACUCUUUUAUCACCUAUGUAUAUUGGAAAAUGUUUAUCCCACUCUGUAGCUUGCCUUUCCACCUUCUUACAAAUGUCUUUUGCAGGAGGGAAGUUAUUCAUGGUAAUGCAGUUGUAGCAGGCAGACUUCUAAGAUGACCGCCCUGCCCAUCACCCGGGUAUAAUGUCCCCCCACUGGAGUUAUGGAAUAUGAUAGGUAUCAUUGGGGAUCAUGUUCUAGUCUGUGGCAAAAGGAAUUUUGCAGAUAUGGCUGUGAUUACUACUCAGCUGAGUAUGAGUUAACCAAGUGGGAUGUUAUCCAGUUGGGCCUGACCAAGUCACAUGGUCCCUUCAAGCCUGAGUCUAGAGAUCAGAAACGGAAAAGGUCAGAGAUUCGAAGCAUGAGAGAUUUGAUGUACCAUUGCUGGCUUUGAAGAUGGAGGGGAUCCAUGGCAAUGAAGGUGGUCUCCAGGAAACUAAGAGAUCUUGAUGGACAGCCACCGAGGACCCAAGGACCUCAGUCUUACAACCUCAAGGAGCUAAAUCUGCCACAACUCCGUGAGCUCGGAAGAGCACCCAGAGUGCCAGAGGACCCAGAGACCACAGCCCAGUCCAUUCCUUGCUUUCAGCCUGUGAAACCCUGAGCAGGGAACCCAGCCAUGCCGUGCGUGGGUUUCUGGGCAACUCCUCUGUGAGCCAACAAAUGGGCGUGCUUUUAAGCUCUGCUGAAUUUAUUGUGCAGCAAUAGAAAACAAACACAGUGGUUGUAUUUAUCAGCAUUUUCCUAUAUUUAUCUCACUUUCUGAGUUAAAAAAAUCAUUCUCUACACCGAGGUCGUGAAGAUACUCUUCUCAAAUUGUUACAGUUUUGCUUUUUCACAUUUAAGUAUUCCAACUUCCUAAAAUUGAUUUCUCCCCUUGCUGUGAAGUAGAGCUCAGACUCCAUUAUUCCCCACUUUGGAUAAAAAUUUGUCCUGAGACUACUUAUUGACUAGUCCAUUAUUUCCUCAUAGAUCUGCAAGUGCAGUCUGGUCAUGAAGGCGAUUUCCGAACAAACGAAGGUCUGUGUCUGGCCUCUUUAUUUUGUGUCAUUGUUAAUUUGUCUAUCUUUGCAACAGAGCCACACUGUGUUAAUUGCUAUAGCUUUCUAGUAAUUCUAGAUGUCUGGUGAAAUAACGUGCCCAUCUUGUUCUUCAAGAGUGUCUUGGCUUUUGGCUCUUGCAAAUAGAUUUGAGACGGUUUAUCAAAUUUCAUAGGAAAACCCGUUAGGAUUUAUAUCGGAAUCAUAAUAUUAUACCUCUAAAUCAGUUGGAGGAGAGAUUGGCAUCUUUAAGGUACUGAAUAUUACAAUCUAUGCCUAUGGUCUAUGCCUCCUUUUGUAGCCCACAACCUUGAUAAAUAUUCUUAUUCAUUCAAAUAACUCAGGUGUAGAUUCUCUCUGGUUUGAUUUCUUGAAUGGAUAUAAGACAAUUCGGAUUUGGUAAUUUGUGUCUUUCAAGGAAAUUCAUUUCAUCUACGUUGUCAAGUUUGUUGACAUCAAGUUGUUUAUAAUAUUCCUUUAUUAUCUUUUUAAAAAUGUUUAAUGUUUAUUUAAUUUAAUUUUGAGAGAGAGAGAGAGGUAGAGUGCAAGUGGGGGAGGGGCAAAGAGAGGGAGACGCAGCCUCCGAAGCAGGCUCCAGACUCCCAGCUGACAGCACAGAGCCUGAUGCAAGGCUCGAACUCACGGACUGUGAGAUCAUGACCCAAGCCAAAGUGGGAUGCUCAACCGACUGAGCCACCCAGGCGCCCCCCCCCCCCUUUUUUUUUGAGAGAGCGAGCGAGAGUGAGCAUGUCAGCAGGGGAGAGGGGCAGAGGGAGAGAGAGAGGAUCUUAAUCAUGUCCUACACUCAGUGCAGAGCCUGACACAGGACUUAAUCCCACGACCCUGAGAUCAUGACCUGAGCCGUAAUCGAGAGUUGGAAGCUCAACCGACUGAGCCACCCAGGUGCCCCCUUUAUUAUCUUUUUAAUAUCUGUAGGGUUUGACUGCUAUCUUCUUUUUAUUCCCAAUAUUGGUAAUUUUGAUCUCUUCUUGAUCAGUCUUGCCAGAAUUUUUUGGUUUUGUCUUUGCUCGAGUUUUAUCAUCUAUUUUCGCUGUGUUGUCCGUGAGUUUUUGGUUUUGCUAUCUGGUUGCUCUGUUUACCUGUGACGAUUAGGGGAGAUUUAAAAAUGAUGUCAUUGUCAUCAUUUUCCUACAACCUCACACUUAGAUUUUUGAAGUGUAUUUCAAUGGGUAUAAUUCUGUGUUGGCAGAUUUUUUUUUUUUACUUUCAACACUUUAAAUUUUUUUUUUUUUAACGUUUAUUUAUUUUUGAGACAGAGAGAGACAGAGCAUGAACGGGGGAGGAUUAGAGAGAGAGGGAGACACAGAAUCUGAAACAGGCUCCAGGCUCUGAGCUGUCAGCACAGAGCCCGACGCGGGGCCCGAACCCACAGACCGCGAGAUCAUGACCUGAGCCGGAGUCGGAUGCUUAACCGACUGAGCCACCCAGGCGCCCCUACUUUCAACACUUUAAAAGUGUCAUUCCAUGGGCUUCUGGGGAUGAAAAUUUCUAAGUAUGUAUAAAAUAUGGUAAAUCAAUAAAGAAGAAAUUAUUGAC